rnacentral:rRNA from 1 species
CGCGGGAUUAGAGUUUGAUCAUGGCUCAGAUUGAACGCUGGCGGCAGGCCUAACACAUGCAAGUCGAGCGGUAACAGGAAUUAGCUUGCUAAUUCGCUGACGAGCGGCGGACGGGUGAGUAAUGCCUGGGAAUAUGCCUUAGUGUGGGGGAUAACUAUUGGAAACGAUAGCUAAUACCGCAUAAUGUCUUCGGACCAAAGAGGGGGACCUUCGGGCCUCUCGCGCUAAGAUUAGCCCAGGUGAGAUUAGCUUGUUGGUGAGGUAAGAGCUCACCAAGGCGACGAUCUCUAGCUGGUCUGAGAGGAUGAUCAGCCACACUGGAACUGAGACACGGUCCAGACUCCUACGGGAGGCAGCAGUGGGGAAUAUUGCACAAUGGGCGCAAGCCUGAUGCAGCCAUGCCGCGUGUAUGAAGAAGGCCUUCGGGUUGUAAAGUACUUUCAGUGGGGAGGAAGGUGUUGUCGUUAAUAGCGGCAGCAUUUGACGUUACCCACAGAAGAAGCACCGGCUAACUCCGUGCCAGCAGCCGCGGUAAUACGGAGGGUGCGAGCGUUAAUCGGAAUUACUGGGCGUAAAGCGCAUGCAGGUGGUUCAUUAAGUCAGAUGUGAAAGCCCGGGGCUCAACCUCGGAACCGCAUUUGAAACUGGUGAACUAGAGUGCUGUAGAGGGGGGUAGAAUUUCA